rnacentral:rRNA from 1 species
ACCCCGGGAGGGGAGUGAAAUAGAACCUGAAACCAUAUGCUUACAAGAAGUUAGAGCCCGUUAAAGGGUGAUAGCGUGCCUUUUGUAGAAUGAACCGGCGAGUUACGAUAUGGAGCGAGGUUAAGCAGGAUAUGCGGAGCCGAAGCGAAAGCGAGUCUUAACAGGGCGAAAGUUGCAUGUCGUAGACCCGAAACCGAGUGAUCUAGCCAUGACCAGGUUGAAGUUGGGGUAAAACCCGAUGGAGGACCGAACCGACCCCCGUUGAAACGUUGGCGGAUGAGUUGUGGCUAGGGGUGAAAUUCCAAUCGAACUCGGAGAUAGCUGGUUCUCCCCGAAAUAGCUUUAGGGCUAGCGUCGAGGUAAAGUCGUGUGAAGGUAGAGCACUGAAUAUGUGAUGGCCCCAUCUCGGGGUACUGAACAUAAUCAAACUCCGAAUGUCACAAAGAUAUACUCGGCAGUCAGACAGUGGGUGAUAAGGUCCAUUGUCAAAAGGGAAACAGCCCAGACCAUCAGCUAAGGUCCCAAAAUAUAUACUAAGUGGAAAAGGAUGUGGAGAUGUCCAGACAACUAGGAGGUUGGCUCAGAAGCAGCCAUCCUUUAAAGAGUGCGUAACAGCUCACUAGUCGAAUGACUCUGCGCCGAUAAUUUACCGGGGCUAAGUAUAUUACCGAAGCUAUGGAUUUACGCGUAAGCGUGAGUGGUAGGGGAGCGUUCUAUGUGCGGAGAAGCGGUACCGUAAGGAGCCGUGGAGCGCAUAGAAGAGAGAAUGCCGGUGUGAGUAGCGAAACGUGGGUGAGAAUCCCACGCACCGAAAACCCAAGGUUUCCAGAGGAAGGUUCGUCCGCUCUGGGUAAGUCGGGACCUAAGGCGAGGCCGAGAGGCGUAGUCGAUGGACAACAGGUAGAGAUUCCUGUACUUACGGUAUGAAUGAUGGAGUGACGGAGAAGGCUAGCGGAUCCUGCUGAUGGAAAUGCAGGUGCAAGCGAGGUAGCCGACAGCCAGGCAAAUCCGGCUGUCGAAAGGCAAAGGCGUGAGGCGUAUGGAAAGCUGCGGCAAGUACAGAAGUCCGUGAAGCCAGCUUCCAAGAAAAGCUUCUAGUGAUAAUCAUACAGUAACCCGUACCGAAAAUGGACACACAUGGGUGAGGAGAGAAUCCUAAGGUGAGCGAGAGAACUAUAGCUAAGGAACUCUGCAAAAUGACUCCGUAACUUAGGGAUAAGGAGUGCUCAUAGAGAUAUGAGCCGCAGUGAAACGGCCCAAGCGACUGUUUACCAAAAACACAGCUCUAUGCUAAGUCGAAAGACGACGUAUAUGGGGUGACGCCUGCCCGGUGCUGGAAGGUUAAGAGGAUGUGUCAGCGCAAGCGAAGCAUUGAAUUGAAGCCCCAGUAAACGGCGGCCGUAACUAUAACGGUCCUAAGGUAGCGAAAUUCCUUGUCAGGUAAGUUCUGACCCGCACGAAAGGCGUAACGAUUUGGGCGCUGUCUCAGCUGUAGACUCGGUGAAGUCUUAGUACCUGUGAAGAUGCAGGUUACCCGCGACUAGACGGAAAGACCCCAUGGAGCUUUACUGUAGCUUGAUAUUGGACUUUGAUGCAAGAUGUACAGGAUAGGUAGGAGACUGAGAGACAUGCACGCCAGUGUGUGAGGAGUCAAUGUUGGGAUACUACUCUUCUUGUAUUGGAGUUCUAACCGGAUGCCAUGGAACUGGCAACGGGACAGUGUCAGGUGGGCAGUUUGACUGGGGCGGUCGCCUCCCAAAGAGUAACGGAGGCGCCCAAAGAUACCCUCAGCUUGGAUGGAAAUCAAGCGCAGAGUGCAAAGGCAUAAGGGUGUUUGACUGCGAGACCUACAAGUCGAGCAGGGACGAAAGUCGGGCUUAGUGAUCCGGCGGUGCUGAAUGGAAAGGCCGUCGCUCAACGGAUAAAAGCUACCCUGGGGAUAACAG